GUCUCCAGUCUCCACCAGAAGGUCUCUAGUCUCCACCAGAAGGUCUCUAGUCUCCACCAGAAGGUCUCUAGUCUCCACCAGAAGGUCUCUAGUCUCCAGUAGAAGGUCUCUAGUCUCCAGUAAAAGGUGUUCAGCAGGUGGUCUCCAGGGUCUCCAGGGUGCCGCGGCCCAAGAUCACCCGGUCAGUUCCGUUCUGUGAGGGGCAUCCCAGGAGCAGGGAGCAACAACCAGGAGCCCCAGACCACAGACUGCAGCUCCCGAGUCAGAGGAGCUAACCCGUCAUUGUCCCUGAGCACUUAAACACCGCCUGGGGAGAAGUGGGCGGGGAGACAGCCCCAAAUGAAAGGAUUAAUGAGUACCUGCAGGGCAGCGGCCACCCGAUGUAAUCGCCCCCCCAACCCCAGCCGGUGUUUAGCGGUGGUGGAGUGGAGGGAGCGGACAGACGGCUGAAUAUCAGCUUUGAUGUUCCUGCUGAAGAACUGAACCAGAGAUAUAAACCAUAACAACCACACCUGUUACACCUGAACAGAUCUAGCAGUAGAAGAACCGACGGUAGCAACACUCUGCCAGAGACCUUCAGACCCCCAGUCUCAGAGGAUGCAUCGCGGGGGCGGUUUUCGGCUUCCAGGAGAUAUGCCGUCUCUGCUUCACAAAGCUAAGCUUUGAUUUAAUUCAUUUCCAUGAGUUGAUAGCUGGUAUCAAGUGUAAUGGGACAACAUGGAGGCUGGCUGACGCCGUGGGGGUACACUGUCCAGGUGGGACCCGCCUGGGACCAGGGCCCGGGAGGAGGAGAACCUCAGGGUACCAGAGGGCUGGUUCUUGUCUCCACGGUCUCUCAGAGCUCAGGGUACCAGAGGGCUGGUUCUGGUGUCUCCACGGUCUCUCUCUGGAGCUGUAACGCUGGCAGAGGUCACACUUUAUAUGUGAACUAAAACAUGGCCUCUCUUCCCGGGACAGUCCCUCUUCCCUUCUUUCCAAAGGAAGAGCAAUGACCAAACAUGGGCAUUCUCGCUCCUGUCCGUCUUCCUCUGGAACCUAACCUGUGGCUGGGACCCUCGCUGGGGGACCUUUAAACCAGUGAUACCAUCAGUGGAGGCUCAUCCAUCCUGUUCCAAACUGACCUGAAGAACUCCCAUGUAGAUUUGAAAUGUGUACAAUGUACACUUUAUUCUGUAUUUAGAAUCAUGGUGAAGGAUUCACAAGCCUUCACAGUCUGUAUAAAUCAUAACGUACAAUACAGAGUUGGCAAUUACUGUCGACCAAGUAGAUAUAAUAUCACUCCACUCAGGGAUGAUUCUGUCUGAGCAGCAUGCCUAGAAAGUCUUAUGCUGGCCAGGGUUUCAGCUCCCGUGGGAGUUUGGUUUUUACGAGAGUCUCACAGAGACGUGCUCCAGCACAAUUUCCCCCCGGAUACAAAGUGAGGCUAUCGCCUCUUAGAUCUGUUAUGAGCCAGGCACACAUCCUAACAAUCUCUGGAAACUCUCCCUUAGUAAAAUAUCUGAGAUCCGCUGUGGAUCAGUCGUGCUUGAAUACGGUUCUCCAAAGCAGUUUAAACAAUGCACAUCAUCGUAAACUCUCAACACCCAUGUCUUGUCUUUUCUUUUAUGUCUGUGUGAAUUUUUAAUUGUG
ensembl:lncRNA